rnacentral:rRNA from 1 species
CCCUUAGAUGUCCUGGGCUGCACGCGCGCUACACUGGAAGUUAUGGAUUGAGAUACUACCUUGUCCGAAAUGGUCCGGGUAAUCACCUAAAAGCUUGUCAUAAUUGGAAUGGAUUAUUGUAACUAGUAAUCCUGAACGAGGAAUUCCUAGUAAGUCCCAGUCAACAGCUGGUACUGAUUACGUCCCUGCCCUUUGUACACACCGCCCGUCGCUACUACUGAUUGGACGUUUAAGCAAGAUUUUUAAACACUGACAGUGUGUAGUUCACGCUAUACUACAGUGAGAAGAAGAAGAUCGAGCUUACUUGUCUAGAGGAAGUAAAAGUCGUAACA